CCCUUAGAUGUUCUGGGCUGCACGCGCGCUACACUGAUGCGUUCAACGAGUGUACAACCUUGCCCGUUAGGGUUGGGUAAUCUUUUGAACACGCAUCGUGAUGGGGCUUGAUUAUUGCAAUUAUUAAUCAUAAACGAGGAAUUCCUAGUAAUGGCGAAUCAUCAGUUCGUCGUGAUUACGUCCCUGCCCUUUGUACACACCGCCCGUCGCUCCUACCGAUAGAGCAGUCCGGUGAAUACUUCGGACCGACAGCUUGAUUGGUUCGCCAGUCUUGCCGUUGGAAAGUCGAGUGAACCUUNUNGCUUAUNGGAAGGAGAANUCGUANCA
rnacentral:rRNA from 1 species